GUGGAUUAGAUACCCUGGUAGUCCACGCCGUAAACGGUGGGCGCUAGGUGUGGGGAACAUUCCACGUUCUCCGUGCCGCAGCUAACGCAUUAAGCGCCCCGCCUGGGGAGUACGGCCGCAAGGCUAAAACUCAAAGGAAUGGACGGGGGCCCGCACAAGCGGCGGAGCAUGCGGCUUAAUUCGAUGCAACGCGAAGAACCUUACCGAGGCUUGACAGUUGGGGAAAUCUGGCAGAGAUGUCAGGUCCGCAAGG
rnacentral:rRNA from 1 species